UGGGGAAUUUUGGACAAUGGGCGAAAGCCUGAUCCAGCAAUGCCGCGUGUGUGAAGAAGGCCUUCGGGUUGUAAAGCACUUUUGUCCGGAAAGAAAUCCUUGGCUCUAAUACAGUCGGGGGAUGACGGUACCGGAAGAAUAAGCACCGGCUAACUACGUGCCAGCAGCCAGCGGUAAUACGUAGGGUGCAAGCGUUAAUCGGAAUUACUGGGCGUAAAGCGUGCGCAGGCGGUUUGCUAAGACCGAUGUGAAAUCCCCGGGCUCAACCUGGGAACUGCAUUGGUGACUGGCAGGCUAGAGUAUGGCAGAGGGGGGUAGAAUUCCACGUGUAGCAGUGAAAUGCGUAGAGAUGUGGAGGAAUACCGAUGGCGAAGGCAGCCCCCUGGGCCAAUACUGACGCUCAUGCACGAAAGCGUGGGGAGCAAACAGGAUUAGAUACCCUGGUAGUCCACGCCCUAAACGAUGUCAACUAGUUGUUGGGGAUUCAUUUCCUUAGUAACGUAGCUAACGCGUGAAGUUGACCGCCUGGGGAGUACGGUCGCAAGAUUAAAACUUAAAGGAAUUGACGGGGUCAUAGCUGUUUCCU
rnacentral:rRNA from 1 species